ensembl:processed_transcript
GAGCAUGUCAGUCUUUUUGAGGACUGAACAGAGUCUCCAUAGCAGACAGGACAUUAAAUUUGGUGACCGUACUAUGAAAAUAUGCAAAGGUAAGAAGAGAUCAUACCUAUUCCUAGGUCUUUGCAUUGCUCUGAGAAGGAGCCCAGUGUGGAGAGUGUGAGCAUGCCUGGGUUAUGAGAAGUUCAGUGUAAAUAAAACUAAAGGAAAGUAAGGAGUGGAAAAUUCCAUACCUAAAGACUUGCCAUGGGUUUGCAAUUCGGUUUUUGUUUGUUUUCUUUUUUUUUUUUUAUUAAUCUGAGAAAAAAUUACCCAUUCUUUAAGGCUCAGGAUCAUUGCUUUAGCAUCACUAACACAGUUCACACUGUGGAGGUCUGCAUAUAAUCAUUCAUGAGAUAUUUGAGCUGAUUUCUUAGAAAGACAAAGGAAAUAUGCAAUAAGGAGAUCUAAAACACGCCUUUAGUUAAAACAGACGGAAAUCACAUGUGAUCUUAUUUGUUCUCAGAAACACACACACACACACACACAAAUGUAAUCAAACACUUUAAUUAAUGAUCUUCUCUUCUCUGCUCCAGAAAUAAAAAAAAACUAUACAUUUCUAUGAAAAUUUCAAAAAAGAGAAGCUAUUGUUCCUUUUUUUCAUUGUUUAGAGAUAUUUUAGAGUCUUUUAUAAAGAUCACAUUAAUUUUAGUACCUAAGUGGAAGUCAUAUAGCUCUGAAAGGAACUCCCAGAUAGUGAGUACAUAGUUCAUAGCUGCAUAGAUAUACAGGCAUUUAAUAAUGUAUAAACUUUUAAGUACAUAAGUCAGAACACAAACAUGAACAAUAUCACAUCAGAAUGAUAUUUAAUAUUACAAAAAAGCAUAGAACAAAACUUGAAGAAAUAUGUUUACAUUUUUAUUUACAUAAAAAUUAAUAGCUGGGCUUAAAUAUGACAAUAUUUAUAAAUGAGAAUAGUUGAACCCAACACUAACAUGAAAUUAGUAAAAGUGCUAAAAAAUUACUAACUAAAAAAUAUAGACUGUGAUGGUCAAAACCUACUUAUACCACAGGAGUGCUCCAAUGCUAGAAUGAAGUUGGCUAAGAGGAAGCAGAAAAGAGAUUGUAUAUUGCAAGUCUUUUGCCCAGGUUGUGAUUGACACUGAAAAGAGACAUAGACAGAAUAGAUAGGUGUAAAAUGCACUAGAAGUGAAUUUUUCCAUAUCUCUAAUCACAUAAUGUUUCUGUAUCAGGGCACUAAACUCAUGGAAUAAGAUUGGAGUGUCCCAUCCUUCUUUCUUUUUAACAUUCAUUUGCAAAUGAUUGGUAUAGUUUUCUUUAAAUACUGAAAUGAGUUGACUGUUGAAGCACCCUGGGCCUGAGUUUCACUUGCUGGCAAGGUUUGUGACUACUGCUUCCAUUCCUUCACUUGUUAUAUAACCAUUCAUCUUUUAGGUUCUUUUAUGGUAAUUAUUCUUAGGUAGCUUUCCCCAAUUUAUAUCUUUCUACUGUUUUUUUUUUAUUUCUUUUAAUUGUAUAAACUGGUUCUCUAUGUGACUUUAAGUGCUUAUAGUCCCUGUAGAGUUGGUAAUGAUGCCUUCUUGUUUCAUAAAAGGUUCGGAAAUUUUGAUGCCAACAGUGAUGGCUGAGCUAGAAUGUGGAUGUAGUAAUGAAAGCAUCAACUGAGAGUUCUAGAUGGUAGGCCUUCCUUCCCUGAAGGAGGAGUAGUUACAUGAUCGGUAGUAGGUAAGGACUGGGGACAUGUCUCAAGGAAAGACUCUCCUCUUAUACAAUUGCCUUUAGGCAAAAGGAGGAGGAGGAAGAGGAGGAGGAGGAGGACAAAUAUAUUUUAUUUGGGGCUCAAAUAGACCUUCAUAGCUUAUAGAAUAUGAUCCUAAAUGUAUUGUCAUUCCCCACAUUCCAUACUUUACUAUUAAUUUCAUUUUAAACAUAUUUUAUGUUUUAUGGGUAUUUUACAAGGAUGUAUGUCUGUGUGUGUCCUAUAUGUGUGUCUACUGCUCACCGAGUCCAAAAAAGGAUGUCAGAUCACCUGGAACUGGAAUUAUAGAUGUUUGUGAUCUGCCACACAGAUGCUGGUAAUAAAACUCAUGUCCUCACAGGACCAAAACCAGUAAGUGCUCUAACUGAUGAGACAUCGCUCUAGCCUCUUAUAAGAAGUGAAGAAAUGCCUCUUGUUUGUUUGUGGCAAUCCUAGAAAUAAAUGUUAUCUGGUACCUCCAAAAUACAUUGCUAAACUUUGAGUGUUUAUUCAGAUUCAGUUUAAUACACACACACACACACACACACACACACACACACACUGACAGAGAUGUAUUCCUAGUUGUCUUUCCCAUGCUUUUAUUGGUUGAUAGAGAACAAAAGAAUAUCAAACAAAUGUGUUUACGUAUCACAGGGUACUUGAUCUGUGCAUAAAAACAAAAUAACAAAAACCCUUACAUAUAGAACAUACAAUCAGAAAAGACUUUAUUUUGAACCAACAGCAUGACUACUCUUGAGACUUCAUUGCAUGCCACUUGUUUCUAUGCACUAGUCAAUAAAAUUGAUAUGAUAAAAGACCCAUGUCAUAGCAGAGAUUCUGAAUACAAAGACUGCUAAUGGUUAACUGUUGCUGUUAAUUGCAGGGGGCAAGAAAAUGUUGUCCCUUUUCCCCACUAUAAUGGCCUGAAACAUUCUGUUUGGUUUUCUAAGAAAUAUCUCAGUGUCUGGCCACCAUUUGUAGGUCUGAGCAUUAGCUGAAGCCAAGGUCAUGAAAAAUCAAUAGUGUGCCAGUAAUACACCCAUUCAACCCAUACUGGUACCCACUGUAUAAACAGUCUACAUUUUAAGUAGCAAGCAUUGCUACCCUGUGAUGGUUGGAAUUUCUGCAUUAUCAUGAAGACAUAUCCUCUGCUGUAUAGUUCCCACUUGUUUUGGGUAUUUUGUUUUGUUUUGUUUUGUCUUGUUUUGUUUUUCUUAAAAAAAAAAACCAAUCGUUCCUCAUAUGCACAGUUACAAAGUGCCUUUGAUUCCACAUUGGCUUCAUUAUUGGAGUUACAAGACAGGAAAAUCACAUUCUGGAACAAAGAAAAUACGUGGUUUCAGGUUACAAAUGAAUAUUAUAUGUAUAUGUUUAUACGUACAUAUGUGUAUGCAUGGAAGAACAUAGAUAGAUACAUAGAUACAUAGAUACAAAUGAUACAACUUCAUUCAGUGUUGUAGAUGUUCCAUGAUGAGAAUAGCACACCUUAUGUGAUGCACAUAUUUGAUGUAUAUCAUCUCCUCUUUGUUCUGCACUCUAAUUAAGGAUCUGGUCAGAGCAAAGCUUUUUUGUUCAGUUAGUGAAGCCAUACACCUUGAGCUGGCUGAGAAGGGUUGCAUGUAGUUAUUAAACAGUAUUUCCUUAGUGUCUUUAAUUCAAGGAAAAAAAGUAAAACCAGAAGGAAGGGAAACAGAUUCUAAGAUGCUGAUUGAAUACAUUCCAGUGUGCAAUUGGUCUUUAUCAAGUCAAGAUCCAUAAAAAGACUAGUCAGUAUAAGAAAAAGUAUUCCUAGUUAGAGGGGAGGCAGCCACACUGCAGCAUCCUGAACACAAGUAAAUUCAUCACAAUGCCAGGAGAGACAUUUAACUUCACAGAGCCUCAGUUCCUUUAUUUGCAACAAAGAAGGGAAGAACCAGGUGAUUUGUUAGGUUUAUCUGGGUUUCUUUCUAUGUCUAGAUAAUCAUCAUCAGCUACACAAUUACUUUCUACCUUAUCAUCUACUGCCCCACCUCCCUCUCCAAAUCACCUGAUAUUCAUGUCAUUGUGACUGAUGUAAUUCUAGGUGUUAUUCAUGACUGCAUAGAUCCCAGAGGAACACCAGGGAAUAUUUAGGAGGUCUCACAAAUACUCACCUAAGGGAAGUCAGAACACCCUCUCUCAACCACAGCAUGGCAGAUAGCAAAGCCAGACCAAGCUCCAACACACUGAUGAUCAGCAUCACUGAAAGGGCUCCCUAAAUUCAGGAGACGAGAGAGGUCAGUGUGACUGAGUCAGCUGAAUCCCUCAUACCUGGGUGGGAGGUGACUAUAGAGAUGAAACUAUCUCCACC